rnacentral:rRNA from 1 species
CAGCCGCGGUAAUUCCAGCUCCAAUAGCGUAUAUUAAAGUUGUUGCAGUUAAAAAGCUCGUAGUUGAAUUUCGGGAUUGACACAUCGGUCGUGCCUUAAGGGGUAUGAACUGGUGUAGUCAAUUUCUCACCUUCUGGAGAACCGCGAUGCCCUUAAUUGGGUGUCACGGGGAACCAGGACCUUUACUUUGAAAAAAUUAGAGUGUUUAAAGCAGGCUAUUUUGUCUUGAAUAACAUUAGCAUGGAAUAAAUAAAAUAAGGACGGCAUGAUUCUAUUUUGUUUGGUUUCUAGGAUCACCGUAAUGAUUAAUAGGAAUAGUUGGGGGCAUUAGUAUCCAAUUGUCAGAGGUGAAAUUCUUGGAUUUAUUGAAGACUAACUACUGCGAAAGCAUUUUGCCAAGGAUGUUUUCAUUAAAUUCAAGAACGAAAAGUUUAGGGGAUCGAAGACGAUCAGAUACCCGUCGUAGUCGUUUAACCUAUAAACUAUAGCCGACUAGGGAUCGGAUGAUGUUAAUUUUUUAAUUCGGCACCUUACGGGAAAC